AACAUUGUGUUCCAGACUGCCGGCAGUAAAAAAAAAAAAAAAAAAAAAAAAAGGAUGUGUACCCAGCUGCUCCAGCCUCCACUGCGAUCCUCUUCCUGGUUGCCGAACUUCUCAGUCUGCUGAAGAGGAAAGAAGCCGUGACGUGAGCUCCGCCAUAUUCCUACACCUUUUUCUAUGCUUACCGGAUUCCAUAGACAACUUCAAAUACUAUGGUAUCUGGAUCACCUAUUGAAAAAGUCCCCGUAGAAGAACCUGCACAACAACCGCCUAGUCAUGCUGGCCCCUUUUGCCUGCAAGCCGAGCCCGGGUGUGCCCUAAAACAGUAAAAAC